rfam:Danio rerio chromosome 22, GRCz11 reference primary assembly.
GCUGGCAUCUUGCUCUCUGCAACUCUCACAUGGUCACCCACUGAAGAUAAGCAGGGCAGCGCCUGGUCAGUACCUGGAUGGGAGACCACAUGGGAAAUCUAGGUUGCUGCCGGAA